AACCGCUUCAACAGAAACCAAAUCCCCAGAUCCCGAAAUCUUUCUUCACCGGAAAGUCAACCCACAUCACCACCACUGUUUGGCCACUUCUGACCAUAAUGGAGACCCGCCAAAACCUCUACAGUCUAUACGAACCAUCACAGAUCACUGGACGGAUUAGUAGGCGCCAGACAUAACCCACAUAAUCGGAAAAAUGAAGGCAUGGAAACUGACUUAUCUAUAAUGUCAAAAAUGUGGCAUUAAUUUGUGAACUUAAAGGGACACCGGGGCAGGGCCCAGGGGCCGACGGUGGUGACGAUGACGGAUGAUGAAGACAGACAGUGGGAGGGAGAUUGGAGACUGGGGAGAUUUGGUGGAGGCGUUUUUAGACAGGAGUUUUCGUUUCUCUAUUAAAUUUGCCGUGGUUUAUGUUGGCCCAACUUUUGAUUAGUGGGUGACCUCGGUGUUCUAUUCUCCUAAACUCAUACAGUCGUCAACACUUGGAUAAUCGGAAGACUUAACAAUUCCGUGAACUCUUUACAAACAGCAAAGGAUGAAGCUUGGAACUUUGAAGCUGAUGUGUCCCCUAGAUUUCAGCAUUCUGGAGACACCAAGCGUAAUGUUUGACGGUCACUAGCUUCCUGUUGGUGCUAAAGUUCAAGUUGUUUAUAGUGAAGAUGGUGAAAGGUAUGAUGCAACAAUUGAGGCUCUUACACCUAAUGGGCAUUUGGUUUGAUUAGUUUUAUGUUUGAACAUUCAUAGUUGAAGACAUUAUAUUGUAUAUCAUCUUCUUAGGCCUCACGAAGUUAAA
rnacentral:lncRNA from 1 species